GACGAACGCUGGCGGCGUGCUUAACACAUGCAAGUCGAACGGAAAGGCCCUGCUUGCGGGGUACUCGAGUGGCGAACGGGUGAGUAACACGUGGGUGUUCUGCCCUGCACUUCGGGAUAUGCCUUGGAAACUGGGUCUAUUACCGGGUAGGAGCCCUCUUUCUUGUGAUGGUUGGUAAGUUUUUUCGGUGUAGGAUGAGCUCGCGGCCUAUCUGCUUGUUGGUGGGGUAAUGGGCUACCAAGGCGGCGGCGGGUAGCCGGCCUGCGGGGGUGGACGGCCACAAUGGGACUGAGGUACGGCCCAGACUCCUACGGGGAGCAGGAGGGGGGAAUAUUGCACAAUGGGGGCAAGGCUGAUGCAGCGACGCCGCGGGGGGGAUGACGGGCUUCGGGUUGGAAACUCGUUUCGCUAGGGACGAAGCUUUUUGUGACGGUACCUAGAUAAGAAGCACCGGCUAACUACGUG
rnacentral:rRNA from 1 species